UUUAUAAAAUAAAACACAAAUAUAUGAAAAUGUUACAUUUACUAAAUAUUUGUCAAUUGACAAAAAAAACAAAAAUAAAUCCGCUCUUAUUAUGUUAAAGGAUAGAAAUUCGGAACCUCUUAAAAGUCUUGCACCCGCAAUUACGCGGAGAGUUUCAUAAAACUGAAUUUUAGUCAAAAAGUACUUGUUUAUUGAGAAGAUAUUACAGUGCUGAUGUACAAAACCGCGUCUUUGUAAAAAACAAUAACUAAAUCGUUGAAGUUUGACUUAUAAAAUUAUUUAUUCACUAUAAAUUUGAUUUUGUUUGCUUCAUUCUCUGUAUAUAUACACUACUGAUCGAAGACCCAUGAUCGGGGAACAGAACAAUGCUAAUGAAGAAACUAACACAAGUUUUUGUUCUUCUAAGUUUGUUUCAUAUUCUUCUAUGUCUUCUAUUCUUUCAGAUUCAUGUCUCAGAGGCUAGACUUCGUCACCUAGGUGAAAAUCGCUCACUGAUAUCAAAGCCACCGUCGGAAUCUACCGGAUGCGUAAAACCCUCCCCACCAUGUCGAGCUCCUCUGAGUAGUCAAGCCAAGCCUUGCGUAAUAGUUCCAAGGCCUCCUCCUCCUAAACAUGUGUGCUCUCCGCGGUGACCGUCCCACAAGUAGCAACGUUGUACUCACACUCGAUUCUACAAAGAUUUUCACGGAAGCCCAACAUCCAAAAUAUUUUGUUUGCACCAAUGUACCAAAGUUACCGUUUGAUUGUGACCGUUUCCUUAAUUUUCAAACAAAUCAUGUAUACAUGGCAAAAAAGUAUUUUUCGACCCUAA